rnacentral:lncRNA from 1 species
CCCUGCCCCACCUUUCAUUCAUUGAUAGCUUCGAGAAACUUUCAGGUUUCCUCACUGUGAAUUAUGAAUAUGAACUAUAUUAAAAUUACUGUAACCCAAUGUGCUUCAUGCACUAUCUGGCAUCCAAAGGAUCCUCUUUCGCCCAUGUUGGGGUUUUCGAAACUGGAAAGAAGACUGAUUUCUGCAGAGCAGCUUUCUAGAUGCAGCCCUGUUCACAUGUGACUGGUAUUUACCUUCUUUCAUCAAACAUGUCUUUAGAAUCGACUCAAGGCAAGAUGCAGUAGAGAAAUGUAAGAGCCAACUAGAGGAGCCAUUUAACUACUAGGUGCAUCUUCUCCAGCAAGUUCUUCAGCAUCCUUUCCAGAAGCAUUCGACAGCCAAGGAAGCAGGCUACGCCUCACCUACUCCUUCCUGGGCUAAAGAUCUCAGACUUAGUUGCUUAAUUUGGGAAAAAUAAAUUAAAGAAGUCUUCUAUCAUUAUACGCAACAUAGAAUAAUCUGUUUAAGAAAUUAUUUUUGAUCCUCCACAUUUUGAUGCCAAUCCCACAUUUGGUAAUAAUGAUUAUAUAUGCAAAUAUUUUUAGCCGAUUAAAUUGG